AUUGAACGCUGGCGGCAGGCCUAACACAUGCAAGUCGAACGGUAACAGGAAGAAGCUUGCUUCUUUGCUGACGAGUGGCGGGCGGGUGAGUCAUGUCUGGGAAACUGCCUGAUGGAGGGGGAUAACUACUGGAAACGGUAGCUAAUACCGCAUAACGUCGCAAGCCCAAAAAGGGGGACCUUCGGGCCUCUUGCCUUCGGCUGUGCCCAGGUGGGAUUAGCUAGUAGGUGGGGUAACGGCUCACCUAGGCGACGAUCCGUAGCUGGUCUGAGAGGAUGACCAGCCACACUGGAACUGAGACACGGUCCAGACUCCUACGGGAGGCAGCAGUGGGGAAUAUUGCACAAUGGGCGCAAGCCUGAUGCAGCCAUGCCGCGUGUAUGAAGAAGGCCUUCGGGUUGUAAAGUACUUUCAGCGGGGAGGAAGGGAGUAAAGUUAAUACCUUCACUCAUUGACGGUACCCGCAGAAGAAGCACCGGCUAACUCCGUG
rnacentral:rRNA from 1 species